rnacentral:rRNA from 1 species
CAGGCCUAACACAUGCAAGUCGAGCGGACUUAUCCUUCGGGAUAGGUUAGCGGCGGACGGGUGAGUAACACGUAGGCAACCUGCCUGUAAGAUCGGGAUAACUACCGGAAACGGUAGCUAAGACCGGAUAGCCGGUUUCUCCGCAUGGGGGAAUCAUGAAACAUGGGGCAACCUAUGGCUUACGGAUGGGCCUGCGGCGCAUUAGCUAGUUGGUGGGGUAAUGGCCCACCAAGGCGACGAUGCGUAGCCGACCUGAGAGGGUGAUCGGCCACACUGGGACUGAGACACGGCCCAGACUCCUACGGGAGGCAGCAGUAGGGAAUCUUCCGCAAUGGGCGCAAGCCUGACGGAGCAACGCCGCGUGAGUGAUGAAGGUUUUCGGAUCGUAAAGCUCUGUUGCCAAGGAAGAACGCCUCGGAGAGUAACUGCUCUGAGGGUGACGGUACUUGAGAAGAAAGCCCCGGCUAACUACGUGCCAGCAGCCGCGGUAAUACGUAGGGGGCAAGCGUUGUCCGGAAUUAUUGGGCGUAAAGCGCGCGCAGGCGGUCUUUUAAGUUUGGUGUUUAAGCCCGGGGCUCAACCCCGGUUCGCACUGAAAACUGGGAGACUUGAGUGCAGGAGAGGAAAGCGGAAUUCCACGUGUAGCGGUGAAAUGCGUAGAGAUGUGGAGGAACACCAGUGGCGAAGGCGGCUUUCUGGACUGUAACUGACGCUGAGGCGCGAAAGCGUGGGGAGCAAACAGGAUUAGAU